rnacentral:lncRNA from 1 species
CUGCCCCAUCUUAUUUUGCGCCCCAUUUUCUCAUGCGCCACUUUUUUCUCCAUACACAAAUCUAAUUGGGCAUCCCAUGGAAGUAUGGAUAAGGAGAAAGAGUCACAGUCUAAUAGGACUCUGAUUUUCUAACUUAAUUAUAAUCUGAUUUGAAUCCGAUUCGAAUCUAAAUUGAGUCAAACUCAAUUAAAAAUUAAAUUAAAAUC